rnacentral:rRNA from 1 species
CCUACGGGAGGCAGCAGUGAGGAAUAUUGGUCAAUGGGCGCGAGCCUGAACCAGCCAAGUAGCGUGAAGGAUGACUGCCCUACGGGUUGUAAACUUCUUUUAUAAAGGAAUAAAGUGAGGCACGUGUGCCUUUUUGUAUUUACUUUAUGAAUAAGGAUCGGCUAACUCCGUGCCAUCAGCCGCGGUAAUACGGAGGAUCCGAGCGUUAUCCGGAUUUAUUGGGUUUAAAGGUAGCGUAGAUGGGUUGUUAAGUCAGUUGUGAAAGUUUGCGGCUCAACCGUAAAAUUGCAAUUGAUACUGGCAGUCUUGAGUACAGUUGAGGUAGGCGGAAUUCGUGGUGUAGCGGUGAAAUGCUUAGAUAUCACGAAGAACUCCGAUUGCGAAGGCAGCUUACUAAACUGCCACUGACAUUGAUGCUCGAAAGUGUGGGUAUCAAACAGGAUUAGAUACCCCUGUAGUC